UGGGGGGGGGCUUACCAUGCAAGUCGAACGGUAUCCAGAGAGCUUGCUCUCGGGUGACUAGUGGCGGACGGGUGAGUAAUGUCUGGGAAACUGCCUGAUGGAGGGGGAUAACUACUGGAAACGGUAACUAAUACCGCAUAACGUCGCUCAACCAAAGAGGGGGACCUUCAGGCCUCUUGCCAUCAGAUGUGCCCAGAUGGGAUUAGCUAG
rnacentral:rRNA from 1 species